rnacentral:tRNA from 1 species
GGGAGCAUAGCUUAAGUGGUACAAUGCUUGCCUAUUAAGCAAAAGGCCCUGAGUUCAAAUCCCAGCACUGUCA